rnacentral:rRNA from 1 species
GUCCAGACUCCUACGGGAGGCAGCAGUGAGGAAUAUUGGUCAAUGGGCGGGAGCCUGAACCAGCCAAGUCGCGUGAGGGAAGACGGUCCUACGGAUUGUAAACCUCUUUUGCCGGGGAGCAACGGGGUCCUUGCGAGGGCCCAAUGAGAGUACCCGGAGAAAAAGCAUCGGCUAACUCCGUGCCAGCAGCCGCGGUAAUACGGAGGAUGCGAGCGUUAUCCGGAUUUAUUGGGUUUAAAGGGUGCGCAGGCGGCCUGUUAAGUCGGCGGUAAAAGCCGGGGGCCCAACCCGGGCGAGCCGUUGAAACUGGCGGGCUGGAGUUGGAGAGAAGUACGCGGAAUGCGCGGUGUAGCGGUGAAAUGCUUAGAUAUCGCGCAGAACCCCGAUUGCGAAGGCAGCGUACCGGCUCCACACUGACGCUGAGGCACGAAAGCGUGGGUAUCGAACAGGAUUAGAUACCCCUGUAA